rnacentral:rRNA from 1 species
GACGAACGCUGGCGGCGUGCUUAACACAUGCAAGUCGAACGGAAAGGCCCUGCUUUUGUGGGGUGCUCGAGUGGCGAACGGGUGAGUAACACGUGAGUAACCUGCCCUUGACUUUGGGAUAACUUCAGGAAACUGGGGCUAAUACCGGAUAGGAGCUCCUGCUGCAUGGUGGGGGUUGGAAAGUUUCGGCGGUUGGGGAUGGACUCGCGGCUUAUCAGCUUGUUGGUGGGGUAGUGGCUUACCAAGGCUUUGACGGGUAGCCGGCCUGAGAGGGUGACCGGCCACAUUGGGACUGAGAUACGGCCCAGACUACUACGGGACGCAGCAGAGGGGAAUAUUGCACAAUGGGCGGAAGCCUGAUGCAGCAACGCCGCGUGCGGGAUGACGGCCUUGGGGUUGUAAAGCGCUUUCGCCUGUGACGAAGCGUGAGUGACGGUAAUGGGUAAAGAAGCACCGGCUAACUACGUG